rnacentral:misc_RNA from 1 species
GCAUACCCAACCCAAAUCCCAUCCCCAUACCCAUCCCUAAACUCAUUGGGGAGAAAUGUGGCAUCUGGGCUCCAUGCAUGUGCUGCAUAGGGAACAUCAUUGGCGGGACGCAAAGCCCUGCUCCCACAGACAUUAUCUGUACUUGCAGUUGAAGUGUCUUCAAAUAUUCAAUAGCUUCAUCAAGCAUCGAAGCUUUAUCCGCCUUGUUGCAGUUGGGUAUAAGUUCCUGUAAUGCACGCAUCUUCUCAUUAAUCCUAUCCCUUCGCCUCCGCUCAGAUAAAUUAUGCACCUCUGCAGCUCGGCUUCUCUUUGAACCUGUACCUCCUCGAGCAGCACAAGGUUUUUUUAUACCAACAGAUUCUUCUUCAACAUCUUCACUUCGACACUCA